AUUGAACGCUGGCGGCAUGCCUUACACAUGCAAGUCGAACGGUAACGGGUCCUUCGGGAUGCCGACGAGUGGCGAACGGGUGAGUAAUAUAUCGGAACGUGCCCAGUAGUGGGGGAUAACUGCUCGAAAGAGCAGCUAAUACCGCAUACGACCUGAGGGUGAAAGGGGGGGAUCGCAAGACCUCUCGCUAUUGGAGCGGCCGAUAUCAGAUUAGCUAGUUGGUGGGGUAAAGGCCUACCAAGGCAACGAUCUGUAGUUGGUCUGAGAGGACGACCAGCCACACUGGGACUGAGACACGGCCCAGACUCCUACGGGAGGCAGCAGUGGGGAAUUUUGGACAAUGGGCGCAAGCCUGAUCCAGCAAUGCCGCGUGCAGGGAGAAGGCCUUCGGGUUGUAAACUGCUUUUGUCAGGGAAGAAAUCUUCUGGGCUAAUACCCCGGGAGGAUGACGGUACCUGAAGAAUAAGCACCGGCUAACUACGUG
rnacentral:rRNA from 1 species